GACGAACGCUGGCGGCGUGCUUAACACAUGCAAGUCGAACGGAAAGGCCCUGCUUUUGUGGGGUGCUCGAGUGGCGAACGGGGGAGUAAAACGUGAGUAACAUGCACUUGACUUUGGGGUAAAUUCAGGAAAAUGGGGCUAAUACAGGAUAGGAGAUCCUGCUGCGUGGUGGGGGUUGGAAAGUUUCGGCGGUGGGGGAUGGAAUAGCGGCUUAUCAGCUUGCUGGGGGGGUAGUGGCUUACCAAGGCUUUGACGGGUAGCCGGCCUGAGAGGGUGACCGGCCACAUUGGGACUGAGAUACGGCCCAGACUCCUACGUUAGGCAGCAGUGGGGAAUAUUGCACAAUGGGCGGAAGCCUGAUGUAGCAACGCCGCGUUCGUGAUGCCGUCCUUCGGGUUGUAAACCGCUUUCGCCUGUGACGAAGCGUGAGUGACGGUAAUGGGUAAAGAAGCACCGGCUAACUACGUG
rnacentral:rRNA from 1 species